CCGGGCCCUCGCGGCCGCAGCGCAGGCAAAGCAGCGAGUACGUGACGUCGGAGCGGCCGCCGGAGUCGGCGGGCGGCAGCCAGCGCAGCCGCAGCGCCAGCGGGGAGCGGCUCAGGCUGUACUGCAGUCCUAGAGGAAGGGUGAGGCACCUCCUGCUGAAGCCGGGUCCCUGCAUCUCCACUCUGGAUCCCUCCUCGUCACCUCCUCGAGGUCUACGUUCCAUCAGCUGGCGACGGGCUUUACUGGCUGUUAACAAGGGGACAGGACAGUAAACCUGGCCCAUUUUGGGUGAAGGCAAUAGGGGCACUAUAGAAUAUUUUAAAACAAUAAUAAAACUGACUAACACCUGC